rnacentral:rRNA from 1 species
UACGAAGGGGGCUAGCGUUGUUCGGAAUUACUGGGCGUAAAGCGCGCGCAGGCGGUCCUUCAAGUCAGAGGUGAAAGCCCAGAGCUCAACUCUGGAACGGCCUUUGAAACUAGAGGACUAGGGUACGGGAGAGGUGAGUGGAAUUCCGAGUGUAGAGGUGAAAUUCGUAGAUAUUCGGAAGAACACCAGUGGCGAAGGCGACUUACUGGACACAUAUUGACGCUGAGGUGCGAAAGCGUGGGAAGCAAACAGG